GACGAACGCUGGCGGCGUGCUUAACACAUGCAAGUCGAACGAAGUGGCGAACGGGUGAGUAACGCGUAAGCAACCUGCCCUUCAGAGGGGGACAACAGUUGGAAACGACUGCUAAUACCGCAUACUGAAGGAGGGGAUUGCGGGGGAUUAGCUAGUUGGGGGGGUAACGGCCCACAAAGGCGAGGAUCAGUAGCCGGUCGGAGAGGAUGAACGGCCACAUUGGGACUGGGACACGGCCCAGACUCCUACGGGAGGCAGCAGUGGGGAAUCUUCCGCAAUGGACGACAGUCUGACGGAGCAACGCCGCGUGAGUGAUGACGGCCUUCGGGUUGUAAAGCUCUGUUAAUCGGGACGCGGUACCGGAAUAGAAAGCCACGGCUAACUACGUGCCAGCAGCCGCGGUAAUUC
rnacentral:rRNA from 1 species